rnacentral:rRNA from 1 species
UACGUAGGGUGCGAGCGUUGUCCGGAAUUAUUGGGCGUAAAGAGCUCGUAGGCGGUCUGUCGCGUCGAUCGUGAAAACUUGGGGCUUAACCCUGAGCUUGCGGUCGAUACGGGCAUGACUGGAGUUCGGCAGGGGAGACUGGAAUUCCUGGUGUAGCGGUGAAAUGCGUAGAUAUCAGGAGGAACACCGGUGGCGAAGGCGGGUCUCUGGGCCGAUACUGACGCUGAGGCGCGAGAGCGUGGGGAGCGAACCGG